rnacentral:rRNA from 1 species
AGAGUUUGAUCCUGGCUCAGGACGAACGCUGGCGGCGCGCCUAACACAUGCAAGUCGAACGAGCGAGAGAGAGCUUGCUUUCUCGAGCGAGUGGCGAACGGGUGAGUAACGCGUGAGGAACCUGCCUCAAAGAGGGGGACAACAGUUGGAAACGACUGCUAAUACCGCAUAAGCCCACGGGUCGGCAUCGACCAGAGGGAAAAGGAGCAAUCCGCUUUGAGAUGGCCUCGCGUCCGAUUAGCUAGUUGGUGAGGUAACGGCCCACCAAGGCGACGAUCGGUAGCCGGACUGAGAGGUUGAACGGCCACAUUGGGACUGAGACACGGCCCAGACUCCUACGGGAGGCAGCAGUGGGGAAUAUUGCACAAUGGGGGAAACCCUGAUGCAGCGACGCCGCGUGGAGGAAGAAGGUCUUCGGAUUGUAAACUCCUGUUGUUGGGGAAGAUAAUGACGGUACCCAACAAGGAAGUGACGGCUAACUACGUGCCAGCAGCCGCGGUAAAACGUAGGUCACAAGCGUUGUCCGGAAUUACUGGGUGUAAAGGGAGCGCAGGCGGGAAGACAAGUUGGAAGUGAAAUCUAUGGGCUCAACCCAUAAACUGCUUUCAAAACUGUUUUUCUUGAGUAGUGCAGAGGUAGGCGGAAUUCCCGGUGUAGCGGUGGAAUGCGUAGAUAUCGGGAGGAACACCAGUGGCGAAGGCGGCCUACUGGGCACCAACUGACGCUGAGGCUCGAAAGUGUGGGUAGCAAACAGGAUUAGAUACCCUGGUAGUCCACACCGUAAACGAUGAUUACUAGGUGUUGGAGGAUUGACCCCUUCAGUGCCGCAGUUAACACAAUAAGUAAUCCACCUGGGGAGUACGACCGCAAGGUUGAAACUCAAAGGAAUUGACGGGGGCCCGCACAAGCAGUGGAGUAUGUGGUUUAAUUCGACGCAACGCGAAGAACCUUACCAAGUCUUGACAUCCCUUGACAGGCAUAGAAAUAUGUUUUCUCUUCGGAGCAAGGAGACAGGUGGUGCAUGGUUGUCGUCAGCUCGUGUCGUGAGAUGUUGGGUUAAGUCCCGCAACGAGCGCAACCCUUAUGGUCAGUUACUACGCAAGAGGACUCUGGCCAGACUGCCGUUGACAAAACGGAGGAAGGUGGGGAUGACGUCAAAUCAUCAUGCCCUUUAUGACUUGGGCUACACACGUACUACAAUGGCGUUAAACAAAGAGAAGCGAGACCGCGAGGUGGAGCAAAACUCAGAAACAACGUCCCAGUUCGGACUGCAGGCUGCAACUCGCCUGCACGAAGUCGGAAUUGCUAGUAAUCGUGGAUCAGCAUGCCACGGUGAAUACGUUCCCGGGCCUUGCACACACCGCCCGUCA